AAAAAUUUAGUUAAAUUAUAACAUUAGCAUGUCAAGCUAGAAUCACUGGAGCCCCCCCAGUAGUUUUUA
rnacentral:tRNA from 1 species